GACGAACGCUGGCGGCGUGCUUAACACAUGCAAGUCGAACGGAAAGGCCUGCUUUCCCUUGUGUAUUGCGGGUACUCGAGUGGCGAACGGGUGAGUAACACGUGAGUUAUCUGCCCCCAACUUGUGUAUAAGCCUGGGAAACUGGGUCUAAUUCCCGAUAGGACUGCAGGGUGGUGCCGGUGUUGGGAAACUAUUUUCUAGUGUUUGGGGGUGAGCUCUCGGCCUAUCAGCUUGUUGGUGGGGUAAUGGCCUACCAAUGCGGCGACGGGUAGCCGGCCUGAGAGGGUGGAAGGGCAACUUGGAACUGAGCUACGGCCCAGACGACUACGGGAGGCAGCAGUGGGGAAUAAUGCACAAUGGGCGGAAGCAUGAUGAAGGGGCGCCGCGUGGGGGAUGACGGCCUUCAGGUUGUAAACUCCUUUCGAGAGCGAGGACGCCACCUGGUUGGAAGGGUGGUGACGGUAGUGGUAGAAGAAGAACCGGCUAACUACGU
rnacentral:rRNA from 1 species